rnacentral:rRNA from 1 species
GCCCUUGACUCUGGGAUAAGCCUGGGAAACUGGGUCUAAUACUGGAUACUACCUCUUACCGCAUGGNGGGUGGUGGAAAGGGUUUUACUGGUUUUGGAUGGGCUCACGGCCUAUCAGCUUGUUGGNGGGGUAAUGGCUCACCAAGGCGACGACGGGUAGCCGGCCUGAGAGGGUGACCGGCCACACUGGGACUGANACACGGCCCAGACUCCUACGGGAGGCAGCAGUGGGGAAUAUUGCACAAUGGGCGGAAGCCUGAUGCAGCGACGCCGCGUGAGGGAUGACGGCCUUCGGGUUGUAAACCUCUUUCAGUAGGGAAGAAGCGAGAGUGACGGUACCUGCAGAANAAGCGCCGGCUAACUACGUGCCAGCAGCCGCGGUAAUACGUAGGGCGCAAGCGUUGUCCGGAAUUAUUGGGCGUAAAGAGCUCGUAGGCGGUUUGUCGCG